AUGAGUGGAGCUUGCUCCAUGAUUCAGCGGCGGACGGGUGAGUAAUGCCUAGGAAUCUGCCUGGUAGUGGGGGACAACGUUUCGAAAGGAACGCUAAUACCGCAUACGUCCUACGGGAGAAAGUGGGGGAUCUUCGGACCUCACGCUAUCAGAUGAGCCUAGGUCGGAUUAGCUAGUUGGUGAGGUAAAGGCUCACCAAGGCGACGAUCCGUAACUGGUCUGAGAGGAUGAUCAGUCACACUGGAACUGAGACACGGUCCAGACUCCUACGGGAGGCAGCAGUGGGGAAUAUUGGACAAUGGGCGAAAGCCUGAUCCAGCCAUGCCGCGUGUGUGAAGAAGGUCUUCGGAUUGUAAAGCACUUUAAGUUGGGAGGAAGGGCAGUAAGUUAAUACCUUGCUGUUUUGACGUUACCAACAGAAUAAGCACCGGCUAACUUCGUGCCAGCAGCCGCGGUAAUACGAAGGGUGCAAGCGUUAAUCGGAAUUACUGGGCGUAAAGCGCGCGUAGGUGGUUCGUUAAGUUGGAUGUGAAAGCCCCGGGCUCAACCUGGGAACUGCAUCCAAAACUGGCGAGCUAGAGUAUGGCAGAGGGUGGUGGAAUUUCCUGU
rnacentral:rRNA from 2 species